rnacentral:piRNA from 1 species
AUUGCAUAACCAGGCAGAACUGUU